UCCCAGACUCCUACGGGAGGCAGCAGUGGGGGAUAUUGGACAAUGGGGGGAACCCUGAUCCAGCGACGCCGCGUGAGUGAAGAAGUAUCUCGGUAUGUAAAGCCCUAUCAGCAGGGAAGAGAAUGACGGUACCUGACUAAGAAGCCCCGGCUAACUACGUGCCAGCAGCCGCGGUAAUACGUAGGGGGCGAGCGUUAUCCGGAUUUACUGGGUGUAAAGGGAGCGUAGACGGCUGGUCAAGUCUGAAGUGAAAGCCCGGGGCUUAACCCCGGAACGGCUUUGGAAACUGAGCAGCUAGAGUGCUGGAGAGGUAAGCGGAAUUCCUAGUGUAGCGGUGAAAUGCGUAGAUAUUAGGAGGAACACCAGUGGCGAAGGCGGCUUACUGGACAGUAACUGACGUUGAGGCUCGAAAGCGUGGGGAGCAAACAGGAUUAGAUACCCCGGUA
rnacentral:rRNA from 1 species